rnacentral:rRNA from 1 species
AUGGCCGCGCUGAGGAGAGGUUGGGCCGUGGCCUUGGCGGCGCUGGUGGCGGCGGCGAUGUGUGCCGGGAUGGCGUCGGCGGCCGUGUACGAGGUGGGCGACAAGCUCGGGUGGACCAUCAUGGGCAGCCCCGACUACGGCGCCUGGGCCGCCUCCAAGAAGUUCAGCCUCGGCGACACCCUUGUGUUCACCUACAACAAGCAGUUCCACAACGUGAUCGCGGUGAGCAAGGCGGACUACAAGAACUGCAACGUGACCAAGCCGACGGCCACCUGGGCCACGGGCAAGGACUCCGUCGUCCUCAACACCACCGGCCACCACUACUUCCUCUGCGGCUUCCCGGGCCACUGCGCCAUCGGGCAGAAGGUCGACGUCCGCGUGCUCUCCUCUGCUGCCCCUUCCACCGCCCCCGCCAUGGCGCCCGCCCCGGCAGCCGCGGGCGGCGGCUCAGCCGGCCGCGCCGGCGCCGCGCCCUCGCCGCACGCCAACGCCGCGUCGGCCGUCAGUAGCUCCUUCGCCGUGACGGUCGCCGCGUCCGUGCUGUCCGUGGCCGCUGCCGGACUAAACCUGCUGUAG